GAUGAACGCUGGCGGCGUGCUUAACACAUGCAAGUCGAACGGAAAGGCCCAAGCUUGCUUGGGUACUCGAGUGGCGAACGGGUGAGUAACACGUGGGUGAUCUGCCCUGCACUUCGGGAUAAGCCUGGGAAACUGGGUCUAAUACCGGAUAGGACCACUUCUUGGAUGUUGUGGUGGAAAGUUUUUUCGGUGUGGGAUGAGCUCGCGGCCUAUCAGCUUGUUGGUGGGGUAAUGGCCUACCAAGGCGUCGACGGGUAGCCGGCCUGAGAGGGUGUACGGCGACAUUGGGACUGAGAUACGGCCCAGACGCCUACGGGAGGCAGCAGUGGGGAAUAUUGCACAAUGGGCGCAAGCCUGAUGCAGCGACGCCGCGUGGGGGAUGACGGACUUCGGGUUGUAAACUCCUUUCGCUAGGGACGAAGCGUUUUGUGACGGUACCUGGAGAAGAAGCACCGGCUAACUACGUG
rnacentral:rRNA from 1 species